rnacentral:rRNA from 1 species
UACGAGAGGCCCAAACGUUAUUCGGAAUUACUGGGCUUAAAGAGUUCGUAGGCGGCGCGGAAAGUAGGGUGUGAAAGCCCUCGGCUCAACCGAGGAAUUGCGCUCUAAACUACCGUGCUUGAGGAAGCUAGAGGUGAGCGGAACUGAUGGUGGAGCGGUGAAAUGCGUUGAUAUCAUCAGGAACACCGGAGGCGAAGGCGGCUCACUGGGACGGUACUGACGCUGAGACGCGAAAGCGUGGGGAGCGAACAGG